AUUCACGUAUACUCCAUGCACAAUUACCCAUAAUGCCGUAGUUACGCGUGUUCUAUCUUGUUUGGUGUCGACCUUGCUGGCACACGGUCAUUACGGCCAGAUGCUCGUUCGCUCAGGACGUCUUCUUCAUUUCGCGUCGGAUUUUCCUGUGACAUGAAAGGGCUGAAAAGAGAUACACGAUCUACUGACAUGUGAUUACAUGACUUCCGACUGCGAGAUGCGUGAUGAGUAUAAAGAAUAGUCCUACAAGAUAAGUAAACGGCAUAUUACUAGACUAAUAUUUAACUUUUUUUUUCUAUUAUCACGCUAGAUGAGAUUGACAAAAAAAUUGUCAAUGUGCGUAUCAUUUUAAAUUUUAGCAACGUUGUUCUUUGUGGAUAUAUAUAUAUCUUAGAUUUUAACAGAUAUACGUUGUUUGUCUCGUGCGCGUAAUUACUACGAUUAAACAACGUUUUGCAUACUUUACGCAAGUCUUGGUCUGAAGCCCUGGGACUUUUUUUUUUAAUCUUUCAUAUUUUACAGCAUGCGACACAAAAAGCAUAGAAAUUCGUAUUUUUGGUUUGCACUAGGCUUUAAAACUGACUGACAGCCAGCUCAUGCACAAUGCCAAUUAUACCUUACUCUUCGUUUCGUUGCUUAUACAUAGGUAUUCGUCACAAUAGUUACCUGUAAUUGUCGUCUUACAUAGCUUAGUGCUAGGCAAGUCUUUUAUCUGAUUAUCUGAAACACUGGGGAAUGUUAUUUUUUUAGUGAGCAGCUCAAUGAUUAAAGAAAUUACGAAGCGUUAAUAUACUUUAUUCGCACGCAGUUGAACUUUACUAAAUUCAUGAGGGCGUA